GGUAUGAAUGGAUCAACAAGAUUCCUUCUGUCCCUAUCUACUAUCUAGCGAAACCACAGCCAAGGGAACGGGCUUGGCAAAAUCAGCGGGGAAAGAAGACCCUGUUGAGCUUGACUCUAGUCUGACUCUGUGAAGAGACAUGAAAGGUGUAGCAUAGGUGGGAGAUUGUCAAUUUGCCAUCGUUCACGCGAUGGUCCGGUGAUCGCCAAUGAAAUACCACUACUUUGAUCGUUUCUUUACUUAUUCGGUAAAGCGAAAAAAUUGUGGCCAAUUUGGCGGCGUUUAUGUCGCUGUUGGUCAUUGUUUUCAUGUUGGAUUGAAGCUUUGUUUACAGCCGUCGCUUUGUGUCUUCAUUUGGCGCAUUGUUGUACUGGGUUAUCCCAGUGUGUGAUGUGGUCACAAUGGAUGAUCGGCGAUAGGCUUGAAGUGAUUCGCUCCGGAAACAGUGUCAGACGGGGAGUUUGACUGGGGCGGUACAUCUGUUAAACGAUAACGCAGGUGUCCUAAGGUAAGCUCAG
rnacentral:ncRNA from 1 species